rnacentral:rRNA from 1 species
CCCUUAGAUGUCCUGGGCUGCACGCGCGCUACACUGACACGUUCAACGAGUCUACCUGUCCUGGUAGGGUUGGGUAAUCUUAUUAAAACGUGUCGUGAUGGGGAUAGAUUAUUGCAAUUAUUAAUCUUCAACGAGGAAUUCCUAGUAAGUGCAAGUCAUCAGCUUGCGCUGAUUAUGUCCCUGCCCUUUGUACACACCGCCCGUCGCUCCUACCGAUUGGGUGAUCCGGUGAAUAAUUCGGAUUGCGGCAACGUGGGCAACCGCGAUGCUGUGAGAAGUUUAGUGAACCUUAUCACUUAGAGGAAGGAGAAGUCGUAACA